GAUGAACGCUGGCGGCGUGCCUAAUACAUGCAAGUCGAGCGAACAGACGAUGAGCUUGCUCCUCUGACGUUAGCGGCGGACGGGUGAGUAACACGUGGAUAACCUACCUAUAAGACUGGGAUAACUUCGGGAAACCGGAGCUAAUACCGGAUAAUAUAUUGAACCGCAUGGUUCAAUAGUGAAAGACGGUUUUGCUGUCACUUAUAGAUGUAUCCGCGCCGCAUUAGCUAGUUGGUCAGGUAACGGCUUACCAAGGCAACGAUGCGUAGCCGACCUGAGAGGGUGAUCGGCCACACUGGAACUGAGACACGGUCCAGACUCCUACGGGAGGCAGCAGUAGGGAAUCUUCCGCAAUGGGCGAAAGCCUGACGGAGCAACGCCGCGUGAGUGAUGAAGGUCUUCGGAUCGUAAAACUCUGUUAUUAGGGAAGAACAAAUGUGUAAGUAACUAUGCACGUCUUGACGGUACCUAAUCAGAAAGCCACGGCUAACUACGUG
rnacentral:rRNA from 1 species